ensembl:lncRNA TMEM161B-DT TMEM161B divergent transcript
GUUGAUGAAAACAUUUUUAUUUAGAGAAUUAGGUGUAUUUUGGUUUUGUAAAAUGUUUGUCUUUUUGUCAGGGUCAGUCCUCAUACCUCAUAGUUAGGUUUCUAAAUAUAAGAUUUGCAAUAAGAAAAAUGUAUCAUUGACCUUGGACGUGAACUUCUAACUGGUCUUAUGUUGAUGUGUAACUAAUUCCUGCAUGUUAAACCUUUAUACAGUAGGUAUGGUUAUACUCUUUGUUUUGAAUGUUUUAUCAAAGUGGAAAAAAAUGAGAAAAAUUCAACUUCUUUUACUUUUCCUUUGUACUUUGCUCAUGUCUUCUGUUUUCCUUUUUAGUGUGUUCUUUCCUCUCACCUUCCUUCACUCCUGUCACUUCAUUAUUUAGCUAAUGAUUUUUUUUCUUCUAUUAAUGUUGGUCAGUGACCCAGACAUUGUCUUCAUUCUGAAGUGAAAUUGAUUUAGGCAAGUCCCCUCAACUAUUUCUUGACUAUGCUUAGGAUUAAAGAGCUCUUCAGAUACAUGAACUAUUUCCUUUUGUUCAGUAUCUGUGAUAUUGUUUUCUUUUGUUUAAUCUCUUUGCUCAGGAUUUUAGUUUUAACUAGAACCAGUUCAGUGACUAAGGAAUUCAAAAAACUUUUAAGAGAUUCCACCACUGCCACCCCACCUGAUUUCUGAUGUUCCAUAUAAUCUAAUGAAAUAAGUACGCCUCCUUUCCCUUCAGACUAUGUGAGAAGGGAUCCAAAACCAAGCAGUCUGGAAGCCAUUACACAGAGAGUUUGCCCUGUGCUUGGCUUCCCGGAACUGGGGACUCUUGCUAGAAAAACUCAAAAGGGCCUUUUGGUAUUGAGAUGAAGAUUUCUGUCCAGGCUGAUUUCUUUUCUUGGUGGAAUCAACUCUCGCUGCUCAGCUGUGACUUCCUGUUCCUGAGAUGCUCAGCUCAAUUAACUUCUCAUCCCUCCCCGGCUCCUAAUCUGAGGGGAGAUAUAAAUCAGCAUCGUAUUUAUUAUAUGUUAUGGCCACAUUCUAGAUGUCUGUAUUUCUUAUUAGUAUAUCAUUGACAAAAAUCUGCCCUACUCAACUCACUGUAUUCUCUUUCAGAUCCAAUGUGAUAAUUUAUGUGAAAUCUUUCUGCAAACUAUACAGUAUGAUAAAAAUAUAAGGUAGUUUCACUGGAAACAACAGAAGACUAGAAGCUGAUGUGACGUGGCAAUAUCAACCAGGAAUACCCAUCUCGAGUUCUGGAUAUGUGCUCUGAGAAGGUGCCCAUGUCACCGACCACACUGGAGGCCAAUGCAGAUACUGGGGGAAGGUUCCAUGGUAGCUAAGUGUGGACAAGCUAAUCACUGAAGUUCCCUGAUGCAGAGUUGAUAAUCUCUCUAGAGUUGGAUGAAAGACUGUGCUGCCUUGAAGCUCUGAGAGAUGCCAUGCCAAUUCAAGGCAGGGUCUUUAUUGUUGAAACUCUUGCGUAAUGACAUCUUUAUUCAGGUGAAAAUACAGGAUGAAUUUCAACUAUAUGAUAUUGUUUAUGUUCCUCAGACAUGUUAUUUGUCUUUACAAAGAUUGGUUUCAAUAAACUGUGUGACUGAUAUUAAAUAAACAUGGAAUUUUACACA